rnacentral:rRNA from 1 species
AUUGAACGCUGGCGGCAGGCUUAACACAUGCAAGUCGAGCGGAGAUGAGGUGCUUGCACCUUAUCUUAGCGGCGGACGGGUGAGUAAUGCUUAGGAAUCUGCCUAUUAGUGGGGGACAACAUUCCGAAAGGGAUGCUAAUACCGCAUACGUCCUACGGGAGAAAGCAGGGGAUCUUCGGACCUUGCGCUAAUAGAUGAGCCUAAGUCGGAUUAGCUAGUUGGUGGGGUAAAGGCCUACCAAGGCGACGAUCUGUAGCGGGUCUGAGGGGAUGAUCCGCCACACUGGGACUGAGACACGGCCCAGACUCCUACGGGAGGCAGCAGUGGGGAAUAUUGGACAAUGGGGGGAACCCUGAUCCAGCCAUGCCGCGUGUGUGAAGAAGGCCUUAUGGUUGUAAAGCACUUUAAGCGAGGAGGAGGCUACUGAGACUAAUACUCUUGGAUAGCGGACGUUACUCGCAGAAUAAGCACCGGCUAACUCUGUGCCAGCCGCCGCCGUAAGAC